GAGUGGGAUUUUAUGACAUUUCAGGGUUCCCUUAUGUGAUCGCAGCGAUGGAUCGCGCCCACAUCAUCCUUCACAUCCCUGCACUGAAUGAUGCUGCCUUCCCCCUUUGGAAAUGGCUCCAGUCUUUGACUCCAUGAAUAUUAGAGCAAUGUGAACUGCCCAUGUGCACCCACGAAGGACCUUCAGCUCCAUCAGCAGCAGGAAUUUCCAUUUGAACACAACACUUAAGCACAAAAUAUGAAGUUCCCUCAUCAGCUGAAGCUUUCACCGGAGGAUCCCAAAUUCCUUUGCUGACAGGAUUGCAUCAGAAAUGUUUUUAGUAAAAUGUACAGAAUGUGUGGAGCAAAAAACAUGUAUUGGUGGCAGAAUUCUGGGUGUAAAAAGAAAAUCACUGGUAUUUCACUUUUGCAGAAGCUCUUCGUGGGAGAAAGGCAGAAAGAAUCUGUCCCAUAAAGAACAACACAACAGUUUCCAAGCUGAACUCUCUAACAUAUACAACCAUUUCUGCUUUUGCAGAUACAGACCCAUCAGCCCUGUGAGAAGAUGAGUGAGUUUACUAUGUUGGAGAGAUCAACAGUAGAUUUAGUGGAGAAAGUAAAGCCUUUGGGCAGAUGAAAAAAAGUCUAAAAAAUCUAGUUUCCAAGCAGAAAACUUGACUAGUGAUGCAGAGAGCGUGGCAGGAGCUAAAAACUGGUUUUGUGCAGAGACAAUGCCUCAGUGUCAAACACAACACAUGAAAAUAGGAACACUACAUAUUUUUGAGAGAUGGUUUCAAUAUUUGAUCUGGUUUUUAUUGCCAUAGAACAGAAAUAAAUCAUUUUGUUCUGUAGCCCUGAGGGAGUGCACUGAGUCCUGCUUCUUGCCUCAUGCACAGCCCUACAGGUCAGGGUGUGGGUGAGGGAGGUGAGCACUGAGCACCCUCCACAGUGGGCAGACUGCUGAGAGGCUUCCUCUCCAUUCCUGUUUACAGUUUCUUCCCUCACUUUGGGAUAACCUCCCCAGAUAUUGUUUAAAGCCCUCCAUGACAGUCCUCCAACUGCCUUUAUAGGCCAUGCAGCUGUUUGUCCCCACAUCUCAGGUGCUGAACCAUAGUGAGAAGUCCCCACCCUGCGCUACCUCAGGCCCAAACUUAAAUCAUUUUCUUCCUUAACUAGGUCUUAGGCUGAAAGGUGAGGGUUCACAGAGAAAACAGCUGUGAUUUCAAACAGCCUGCCACACGUGUGGUGAGAAUGGCUUACCAGCCUCACCAGUCUACCUUGCAGGUUCUCUUUUAUGGUCUGUAGCUCGAGGUCCUGAGGCAUCCUCAGAAAGCCACAGGCAGAAACCACACAAAGAGAUUAAAGAUGUGAUAGGGAGAGGCAGGAGGAAACGCUCCUGCUCAUUUUCUAGUGUGUGUUCUUCUGAAGAUACACCCAGAAGGACCUCCAUGAGUUUCCAGAAGGACCUUUAGAAGUUUCUGUCUGUUUUCCAAAGGAAAAAAAAAACAAA